rnacentral:lncRNA from 10 species
AUAGACUGACUGGCCCGAGGUCACCCCAGAAGAGGGGAAGUUGGUAUACAAACCCAGCUCAGGAAGCAGAGGUUAGGGUUGACCGACUUGCCCAAAGUCACCCCGGAAAAGAGGAAGUUGGUAUACAAACCUAGGUCUGCCUAGGUUUGGAUGGAUGUUUCUCCAUUCUGUCUCAUGUAAGUAAGUUCUGAGACACAUUAGACAAUAUGCUUCUGAAGAUCUCACAGGGAUGGCCAACUCCAUUCUCAUCAGGGCCUUUCCUCCUUCCCUGUGUCAUUCUCCUUGCUCUCCACUCCUGCUCCCUGGAAGCAGUUCUGCAUAAUAAUGGUAGACAGAAUAAUGGCCCCCAAAGAUGUCCACAUCCUAAUCUGUGGAACCUGUGAAUAUGUUACCUUAAACGGCAAAAGGACUUUGCAGAUGUGAUUGAGUUCAGGAUCUUGAGAUGCAAAGCUCAUCCUUGAUUAUCUGAGUAGGCCUGAUGUAAUCGCAAGGCUCCUUAUAGGAUGGGCAGUAGGCAAGAGAGUCAGAAUCAGAGGAGGUGACAUGAGGAUGUGUGCCGUGGGAACUGAGAUUUAAAGAUGCCACACUGCUGGUCUGAAGAUGGAGAAAGGGCAUGAACCCAAGGAAAAGGCAAGGAAAUGGAUUAUUCUCUACAGUCUCCAGGAGGAAUGCAGCUCUGCCAAUACUUUGGAUUUACCCCACUGGAAACCAUUUUAAAUUUCUGACCUUUGUCUCAGUCUCUGCUUUUAGGGGUGCACACAGGCAGG